rnacentral:rRNA from 1 species
UACAGAGGUCUCAAGCGUUGUUCGGAUUCAUUGGGCGUAAAGGGUGCGUAGGUGGCAUGGUCAGUCGGAUGUGAAAUCCCGGGGCUCAACCCCGGAACUGCAUUCGAUACUGCCGCGCUAGAGUACUGGAGAGGAGAUUGGAAUUUACGGUGUAGCAGUGAAAUGCGUAGAUAUCGUAAGGAAGACCAGUGGCGAAGGCGGAUCUCUGGACAGUUACUGACACUGAGCACGAAGGCCAGGGGAGCAAACGGG